CACGUAGUUAGCCGGCGCUUCUUCUGCAGGUACCGUCACUUUCGCUUCUUCCCUACUGAAAGAGGUUUACAACCCGAAGGCCGUCAUCCCUCACGCGGCGUCGCUGCAUCAGGCUUUCGCCCAUUGUGCAAUAUUCCCCACUGCUGCCUCCCGUAGGAGUCUGGGCCGUAUCUCAGUCCCAGUGUGGCCGGUCGCCCUCUCAGGCCGGCUACCCGUCGUCGCCUUGGUAGGCCAUUACCCCACCAACAAGCUGAUAGGCCGUGAGCCCAUCCCUGACCGAUAAAUCUUUCCACCCCCACCAUGCGGCAGAAGGUCAUAUCCAGUAUUAGCCCCGAUUUCCCGGAGUUAUCCCAAAGUCAAGGGUAGGUUGCUCACGUGUUACUCACCCGUUCGCCACUGAUCCCCCAGCAAGCUGGAGUUCACCGUUCGACUUGCAUGUGUUAAGCACGCCGCCAGCGUUCGUCCUCGUAGCCACGGAGUCAAACUACU
rnacentral:rRNA from 1 species